CCCGGGCAGGGAGGGAGGGAGGGAGGAAUCGCUGCUGCAUUUCAUUGCCCAAGUGCGGCACAGCCUCCCCCCGCCCAGCCCGGCCGCACAGGCCGUCCCGAGCAGCGGCCGGGCCGGGGGCAGGGCGCGGAGCCGCAGCCCCGGGGCUCGACCCCAGCCCCAAGCCCGGCAGAGGGGGGCCGGGGGGCGAUGUAGGGGUGAGGGGGGGCGGCCCCACAGCCCCCCCGCGGGGCUCCGGGCGGGCAGCGCCUCCCCGCAGCCGGCUCCUGCGGUGGCUGAGCCAACCUCGGCCGCCGGGAGGGAAAAAGCAGCGCACAGCAGCGGUGCCCUUUGGGAUGAGGAAGUAAACACUGUGAACCAGCAAAGGAAAAUUCCUCCUCUCCUGUUUCAGACAAAACGGCCCACAGUUACUCAUCCUCCUCACCAAACUGAAGCGAUGUUUUCAGGGAAUCUUUGCCUGGCAUGGAGGCUGCGGCCAUAGUUUCACAAAUAUAUUUAACUGCCUGCCCCUGACGCUGCUGGAAAAUAAGCCAUCCAGCGCUCAGCCACCUUCUGUCCCUGCAUGAGCCCUUGUGCAAGGACAAGGAACCCCACCUGGGACGGGGAUCAGCGCUAGGGAAACGCAGCCCAUUUCCUCACCGGUCCGUCUCCGCAACCCCUUCACCUCACGACUGCACACACGCUUGUGCUGCAACGAGGCAGGGGGCAGGAUGAGCAACUGAGGACACAAAGGGGACAGGAUAGCUUCAUUGGUGCCACUGCCUGCUUCAAUAUAAAAAUAUGGGGAGUGAGGGUGAGCGGGUUCUGUACAGAACCGGCUGUACCCCUUCUCCGCAGCUGCAGCAGCAGGACUUUUCCUGUGUUUGCCUUCCUACCGCAUCCAGAGCCCUCAGCACUACAAAUGUGAGCUUCUGGCACAGAAGGAAGAAUGAGGAGGAAGUAUGGGUAAGGUGACUGAAAGCUCAAAGACCUCCUCUCUGAUAGCUUGUACAGUCAGAGACAGCUCAGACACAUUACCCCAGCGUCUCGGUGUCCUCGUACUGAAAUAAGCAUUUACCUAAUUUACUAGUCCUUACAUAAAAUAAAGUGUAUGGCUUCAAAGUUAGCCUCACUUGGCUUUUGCCACCAUGAAUCAAGUGUGGGUCCUGAUUCUAAGAUCACAUCUUUUUCACGAUCCUGCACGUUCAGCUGUAACACAGUCACUGGGAGCACUGUUUCUAAUAAGCGACUCCACAAACUCAGAAACAUUUUCUGACAAGAGCACAUAACGAAAUUCUUCCUUUUAACAAACUGCUUGUUUUCAGUUUCCCCAAGAACACUGUGUGUUCCAAACUACCCACUUUUAGAAGUGCAUUGUCCCUGGAGUUGCUACAAGAGGGAAAAAUUGUUUCCUUAAAUUGAUUACAGGCUUUUCUGAGGAAAAGAGUUCUAUUUUGCUGCCUUUCCUUUCUAGUUCAAAAGAGCAGCCUCAAAAUGCAAGUAUGUAAGUACAGAAAAAGAAAAUGUCUUUAUUGUGGCUGGAACAUGGACUUACUAAUAAAUACACACUUGACAAGAGGAUCUCAAAGAAAUUUGGAAAAUUAAAAAGUAAAGAAGCUGUUUAUUGUGUCACAGGACUGAUUUUUCUAGUUGGGUGAAACUCAAAAUAGUGAACAAGCAGCUUUUGUUUACGUUAAUACUUCCUAUUCAUAACGUUUCAAGUGUGUAUUAUACAUGAAACUGCAGUCACGUUCAGUUUGUUCUGGAUUUUGUUCUUGCACUUUUACAAAUCCAAGGCAAGCAUCAUCAAAUGCACAAAUGCAGCUGAUGCAUGUUAAAAAUUAUGAAAUACUACAGUGUCAUGAAAAGCAUACAGAUUCUCCAAAACCUAUCCUGCAAUCUCUGAUAGUACUUUCAUAGGUAUUAUCAUCUCCAGUUUCUGCCAAGCACAAGAAAAAAACUAUAAACUUUUGAGAUACACACACAGCAGUUCAGAGUGAACAGUUCAGCCUGUCUCACUUUGAUUUUCACUUUUGGACAAACCUUCCCUAAAUAUCUGUGGACACCUUUUAAUCUUUUACAUAGAAAAGAUAAAAAAAAAAACACACACACACAACUUUCCAACUGCACAUCGUGACAUCGGUCUAUGAUUGCAGUAUUAGCCUGACCGAGAUCCUACCCUGGUUAGGAUGUACUCUAUCAUGUGCUGCCUUACUGUGCUCCAUGGUUUGCUGCAUAUCAUGUGUUGAAGCUACUCACAAAGUAAGGUAUCUCAAGAAUAUUCCAACAUCUGACCCAAGGAAGCAAGAGCUGAUUACAAGCCCGUGUUUCACAGUAUAAAAUGAUUGACAGUGCUACUUCGCGACUGUUUCCACAACUCCUCCACUCCUUUACCAUUUAUUUUUGCUCCCAUUCUUUAAAGACACAAACCACAUAAGAAAAAAAAAUGUUUUCAAAAAAGCCUCCUUCCAAAUAAGCUUUUAAAGCAGUUCAGUUUCCCCAGCCCAGUUCAAAACAGUCUCUUGAAAGCUUUCACUACGAUAACACGGGGCACUCCAGUCAGCAGUGCAGGAGCAAGAGGGACGCACACUAUGUUAUGGUUUCAGAAAAAGGCCACUGAUCCACAUUAUCUCUGAGUCUGGACACAGUAUCAGAGGGGUUUUUUUUGCAACCUUUUUGUUUGUUUGGUCUUGCCUUUUUUUUUCUUUUCUGUUUGGUUUGGUUUCAGUACGUGCAUUACCUGGAUUUUUGGCCAGUUUAAGACAACAACAAUGAGGGUUCUCAUUUGUAUUGCAGAGAGAACUCAGUUCCAGCUUUCAGAGACUGGGGCAUGGUGGUGCACUAGUAAAUUACCUACAGCGCUAGACAAUACAUAUUUUAAGAAAGCAGAAAUUGAUCCAGUGGGCAUCCACUGGUGGCAGCCUAUGCUGAAGUCACUAGACUGAGCGUAUUUCACCACAUGCCACAGCGAUUCUGCCAAAAAUUGGAUUUUUAACGGGCUCGUUCCCCUCAUUGAAGCAACAAUUCUCCAGUAACUACAGAACAGAAGACAACUGGAGAACAGCAUGUUAGCUUAGCCUUUAUGCCCCACCGAACAAAUACUACAUCUCAAAUUUGCACAAUGUAGCUGGAUAGAUGAACAGUUCUCUAUUGCUCUCCUCCUCCAUUUGUAGCCUGAAAGUCAUCAAGUAUUUGGUGUGCCUGCUGCCCAACACCAGGCAUCCAACAGGAGAACACAGUACCCGAUAUAAAACCAAACCAAGCAAACAAAACCGGGAUUCGAACUUUGAAGAUACACAUUGUUCUUGUAUCACUUGGAGUUGCUUUCACGUAGAAAAUCAAAGAAUAGAACUAGCAAAAAAUUAAACCCUAAAAAAAAAAUUAAAAAAAAUACAAUACUCCUUGGCUUUAGAUUUUUGUAGGCUCUGCUGUUACCAUUUUUUUAUCUGACUUUUUCUCUCACUAUAUGGGCCCGUACACUAACCUGUUCAGCACUCCAGCAAACACUACAUCCUGAGGAAGAAACCAUGGCCCCUCCACAGAAGCGCCCCAGCUUUUUCAGAAAAAGGACAAUUCUCUUAAGGAAGUAUAACUGAAGCCUUCUGUCAGAAAUCUGCAGACAGAGAGGAACACAUCAUUAUAAUGCUGAGAGAGCAUCAAGUAAGACUACUGAAGGAAAUAUCAUCAGUUGUCCUCUGGGCAUUCUUUUUAUAUUCGAUGGACCAGAACAUUGUCACAGGAUAAUGGUUGUCUGCCGCCUUGCCCCUAUUAAAUUAAAUUAAAUAUUUGAUUGGAACUUUCCUACUUGCUCUCUGUAGAAAUAAAAACUGAUGCAAAAAAGC